rnacentral:rRNA from 1 species
GAUGAACGCUGGCGGCGUGCCUAAUACAUGCAAGUCGAGCGAACAGACGAGGAGCUUGCUCCUCUGACGUUAGCGGCGGACGGGUGAGUAACACGUGGAUAACCUACCUAUAAUACGGGUAUAACUUCGGGAAACCGGAGCUAAUACCGGAGAAUAUAUUGAACCGCAUGGUUCAAUAGUGAAAGACGGUUUUGCGGUCACGUAUAGAUGGAUCCGCGCCGCAUUAGCUAGUUGGUAAGGUAACGGCUUACCAAGGCAACGAGGCGUAGCCGACCUGAGAGGGUGAUCGGCCACACUGGAACUGGGACACGGUCCAGACUCCUACGGGAGGGAGCAGUAGGGAAUCUUCCGCAAUGGGCGAAAGCCUGACGGAGCAACGCCGCGUGAGUGAUGAAGGUCUUCGGAUCGUAAAACUCUGUUAUUAGGGAAGAACAAAUGUGUAAGUAACUAUGCACGUCUUGACGGUACCUAAUCAGAAAGCCACGGCUAACUACGUG